ACUCAAAUGAAUUGACGGGGGCCCGCACAAGCGGUGGAGCAUGUGGUUUAAUUCGAGGCAACGCGAAGAACCUUACCCAGGCUUGACAUCCCAGGACAGCCCAUGAAAGUGGGUCUUCCCUUCGGGGACCUGGAGACAGGUGUUGCAUGGCUGUCGUCAGCUCGUGUCGUGAGAUGUUGGGUUAAGUCCCGCAACGAGCGCAACCCUUGUCCUUAGUUACCAGCGGGUUAUGCCGGGCACUCUGAGGAGACUGCCGAUGAUAAGUCGGAGGAAGGUGGGGACGACGUCAAGUCAUCACGGCCCUUACGCCUGGGGCUACACACGUGCUACAAUGGUCGGUACAGAGGGAUGCGAGACCGCAAGGUGGAGCCAAUCCCAAAAAGCCGGCCUCAGUUCGGAUUGCAGUCUGCAACUCGACUGCAUGAAGUCGGAAUCGCUAGUAAUCGUGGAUCAGCUACGCCACGGUGAAUACGUUCCCGGGCCUUGUACACACCGCCCGU
rnacentral:rRNA from 1 species